CCCCUUUUUUAUAACAUGAAAUAAUUUAGAAAAAGAAAUGAUCUUCUGAGAUAAUCUUCCAAGGGCCCACUUAGAGGCGAGUCCCAUGGGUGACGAAUCCCCCACCAGAGUAGACCAAGAGGCCCCCAUCAGCUGCCCUGUCCAACGGCCACAAAACAAUCCUUGCAAACGUUGUGAAGACCGCGUUCUCUCCUCUGAUGAGCGUUAAUGGCAACAUCUUUAGGGCGGCGCUCUUACUCUGCUAAUCAAAUACUUCACGAAGCAGUCUGAGCUUGCGGUCGCGGUCGCGGUCGCUAAGGACAACAGAACCAAGACGGCCGCAGAGGAUAGCGAUGCCAACACUAAUGCACUGCCAAUAGGGAUAGCGAUGAAGAAAUAAAGACAGGCAAUGCUAAGGAAGUAUGCAGAGGCCAUGAUAGAUGAAACCAAGAAGACAGCUGCAGCGACUUUGGAAAACCAAGAGUAGAUGAGGUUAAAAGCCUAUGAUCAUGAGGGACCCAGAACUCUGCAACUUGACUGAACUGCUGUUUCGAAACUUCCUGAACAGCUCGACUCAUAUCAGCUUCAAGAUGCAAAGGCGGAGUGACUCUGUUUGAAACGGACGACUUCGGCCUACCUCGAGUCUCCUUGAAAUUACCUUGCUUGACGUCAAGAAUACACUGGAGCCCUUUCGCGAUGUUAGCAUCAUGUACUAAGGAUUGUUGAACCUUGUCACAUAUUUCUUGGGACGUAAAUGAACAAGACCCCUUAUCUUUUUUAUAAAGAGAGGUUUCUUGCUCAAUCUUAAACUCUUGUGACCCAUAGUUAUCUUGAGGUACCUGUUCCUUCUUUUCUAUCUGACGUAUUAGCAUGAUUUAUUGCAUUCUUGCAAGACUUCUAGCUUCCUGCAUCGUUCUUGGUUUGAAGAGAUGCACUGGUUCUACGAGUUCUGGUUUAAGCCACAGCCACAUACGCAGAAACCAAAUAUUUUUCUUGUAAUUUUAACUUGCUAGUGUGGCUAUCAAAGAAUUCAUUGAAUUCUUUCACACUCCCCUGCUGACAAAGCCAUAUCUUGUGCUCAUCCUCAUAUUCUUGGAAUGAAUGGUGUGCCAUGGCCAAGGAUGACCGGCUCUGAUACUACUGAUGCAUAAGAAUUAGAGAAAAGGGAAGGAAAGAGAGAAGAUAGAGAAAACAGAGAGAGAAAGAGACUAGAGAGAGGAAGAUAGAAAUAGGGAACUCAAGACUAUUAUUUUCAGAACUGAUUUUCUAGAACUGAUUACGACGGUCUUUUUGGUGCCCUUUUAUAGCCCAUACCUGACACCCUUAAGUAACUAUCCUAACAACCUAUUAACCCUUUAACUAAUAUUAUUUAUUUAUUUAUUACAUAACAAUACUCCCUCCCCAAAAGACCCUUGCCCUCAAGGGUCAAGUACAAAAAUUUAAAAAUCCCCAGAAACUCAUUUGUAAUCUUGAAGAAGACAAGUAAAUUGACUGAAGGUGUUUCUAGCCUUAUUUAAAGUGAAAGCAUAGGAGAUAGGUCCAUAGGCACGUGAAUCCAUCAGACAAUAGGUAUUGGGCCUUUUAGGUCUAACCCAGUCCAGAUUCUGACUAUUCCUUCCUCCCUCUCUGUUUUUUUCCUAGACUUGAGAAUAUCAUACCACCACCAUAUUAGCCAACCCACAUGAGCUAGGUAAGUGUCUGACUUUUCAACACCUAAAACAUGCAUCCAUAUGAUUCUCUGAGCAGAAAAAACAAGAAACUCUUUUUCUUUCUUGAAAACUUCUAUAUUUCUCAUUCUUGUAUACUUCUCUCUUGUUCUUGGAGCUCGGACAAAGCCCUCACUUCACAAAGACUUCUGGGUAUGCAAAUGAAAUAGGGAUAGCGAUGAAGAAAUAAAGACAGGCAAUGCUAAGGAAGUAUGCAGAGGCCAUGAUAGAUGAAACCAAGAAGACAGCUGCAGCGACUUUGGAAAACCAAGAGUAGAUGAGGUUAAAAGCCUAUGAUCAUGAGGGACCCAGAACUCUGCAACUUGACUGAACUGCUGUUUCGAAACUUCCUGAACAGCUCGACUCAUAUCAGCUUCAAGAUGCAAAGGCGGAGUGACUCUGUUUGAAACGGACGACUUCGGCCUACCUCGAGUCUCCUUGAAAUUACCUUGCUUGACGUCAAGAAUACACUGGAGCCCUUUCGCGAUGUUAGCAUCAUGUACUAAGGAUUGUUGAACCUUGUCACAUAUUUCUUGGGACGUAAAUGAACAAGACCCCUUAUCUUUUUUAUAAAGAGAGGUUUCUUGCUCAAUCUUAAACUCUUGUGACCCAUAGUUAUCUUGAGGUACCUGUUCCUUCUUUUCUAUCUGGCGUAUUAGCAUGAUUUAUUGCAUUCUUGCAAGACUUCUAGCUUCCUGCAUCGUUCUUGGUUUGAAGAGAUGCACUGGUUCUACGAGUUCUGGUUUAAGCCACAGCCACAUACGUAGAAACCAAUAUUUUUCUUGUAAUUUUAACUUGCUAGUGUGGCUAUCAAAGAAUUCAUUGAAUUCUUUCACACUCCCCUGCUGACAAAGCCAUAUCUUGUGCUCAUCCUCAUAUUCUUGGAAUGAAUGGUGUGCCAUGGCCAAGGAUGACCGGCUCUGAUACUACUGAUGCAUAAGAAUUAGAGAAAAGGGAAGGAAAGAGAGAAGAUAGAGAAAACAGAGAGAGAAAGAGACUAGAGAGAGGAAGAUAGAAAUAGGGAACUCAAGACUAUUAUUUUCAGAACUGAUUUUCCAGAACUGAUUACAACGGUCUUUUUGGUGCCCUUUUAUAGCCCAUACCUGACACCCUUAAGUAACUAUCCUAACAACCUAUUAACCCUUUAACUAAUAUUAUUUAUUUAUUUAUUACAUAACAGAUGGUGAUGAUUGAAAGAUAGUAAGAGAUAAAGAUUUUAGAGAUACUAGGGAAAUUAGCAGAGUAAAUGUGGGAACUGUAGAGUUUUUAGAGGUAAUUUAAUGUAAAUUUAAAUAUUGACAUGUAGACUAACACAUAAGAUUCAAUUUAUUGAGUUGAUACUUCUUUGGUCCUAUUUAUAAGUCACUUUCAACAUGUUUCACCAAUACCAAGGAAAACUUUAAAACUCAUUAACUCUGUCUUAAAAUUAAAUAAGUUUUUAACUUUGCCCCUAUUAAAUAUAUAUGUUUCAAUUACAUAUCUUCUCUCUCCAUCAUUCAAUGGAGGGUAAAAGAGGAAAUUUGUAAUGAAAAUUUAAUGACGUGACUUAUAAAUAGGAACAAAAAAAAUUUUCUCUCUUUGCCCUAUAAAUAAGAUCAGAGGGAUUAUAUUUUUAUCGGACAAUAUAUCAAUGACAUGGUACUUCAAACUUACCUAAUAAUUUCUCUAAAUCCAAAUGGAAGAUAGCAACCAAAAGGUACAAGAAAAGAAAAAAUCACCUACAUCUUGUAUUAUCCUUUCAUAAACUUCUCAACAACGUGUGCUUUGUUUCUUUCCCUUUUCUAGUAUGUUUUAAAGUCUUAUCAAGAGGAACAAGAUGUAGAACCAAUGGCAGAUGUAGGACCUUGAGUCAGUGGGGGCAUAAAUUAUAUAAAAUAUAAAAAUAAUUAAAAACUAAAAAUUUUAUAUAAAAAAUAAAUAUUUACAUACCUUACAAGUUUUCUCUAUGUGGCUUUAUGUUUUGAAAUUGUUGAAUGAUCAGUUCAUUGUCAAUGCUAUUAAACCAUAGGUUUUCCAUUUGAUUAUGGAACCGAUUUUUCACAGACUUAGCAAAAAAGGCUCUUUCUACAGUUACUGUGGCAACAGGCAAUAUCAUUGCUAGCUUUAAUCAAUUUCUCACACUUAACCUCACAUUCUCAUGCCAUUCACUUUGUCUCUCGUCUCAGACUCUAUUUUCUAGCAAAGAGUCUCUCCAUCUUCCUGUCUUUUGGUCUUCUUUUAGUUUUUGUAUGUUUUAAAAUUUUAAAUUUCAUUUUUAUUGAGGUUAUUUAUUAUUUAGUUUGACUUUAGAUUUGUAAAAAUAUUAAAAAGGAAAAUUAAAAUUAUUUUCUUAUAAAAGUAAUAUAACUUUAAAUAUAAUAAAUUUAAAAUUAAAAUCUAUUAGGCUUAAGUGAAAUAUAAAAGACUUAAAUAUUUUUGAACCGAAAUACAUUUUAGUUUGGGUUUGCUGGGUUUAAAAUUAUAGGGACAAUGGGGGAAAAUUUUUAAAACCCCUCCCUCUGUAAUUUUCCCAAUUUGAGGGGGGGCAACUGCCCACCCUCGACAAUAUUUAGGUCUGCCACUGUGUAGAACUUUCCAAGGUCAUAAAGAUAAUAGAACUUUUGACAAAGUUCACCUGAGAGCAAUACUCUUCUAAUCCUAUCUAUAAGUCACUUUCAACAUGUUUCACUAAUACCAAGGAAAACCUUAAAACUCAUUAACUUUGUUUUAAAAUUUAAUAAGUUUUUAACUUUGCUCCUAUUAAAUAUAUACACUUCAAUAACAUAUUUUCUCUCUCCAACAUUCAAUGGAGGGUAAAAAAGUAAAUUUAUAAUAAAAAUUUAAUGAUAUAACUUAUAAGUAGGAUCAAAAAUUUUUUUCUCUCUCUGCUCUAUAAAUAGGACUAGAGGGAGUAAUUGUCUAAUACUACACACUUAAGCUGCCAGGCUCAUUUCUUAUGCUGUAACGCUAGCAGCAGAAAUAGGAAGUUUAUUUUUUAUUAGCACUUUGCCAGAUUGGGAAUGGAGCAAACACACCACCAUUCAAAGGAGGGAACAUGACCAUAAAUAUUCAUUGUAUACGGCAAACAUGCUUAACGUUUAGGAUUAACAAGAUAGAAAAUCUUCUGUAGAAACAAGGUAGAGCUACCCUAUUGCAGAUAUUGAAAGUGUAAGUCAAUGAAGAAUAUACUUUAGGUCUUUCAAAAUGAAACAGAAACUUCACAAACUCCUGUCUAUCUCCCCUCAAAAUUAGAGAUAGUUACUUUAUUGAUGGAAGAUAAUUCAUCAUUUUUUGGAGUUUGCUCUGCUGCAUGAGACAUGGUCUGCCUGAGGAUGAAUGCAGGUUGGUUUGGGAGAGGAAUAUCCAUAAUCUCACUAUGAAGCAUUGACAUUACAGAAGCCAUCGUGGGCCUAUCUUUUGCAAGUUCUUGCACGCACAAAAGCCCAAUAUGUAUGCAUUGCAAUAUGUCCUUGUAAAAGCUUGGAUCAUAUAUUUGUGGAUCUAUUAGAGGCAUAACAUUGUCAUCGAUCCAUAAUCUCCAAGCCUAGAAACAUUAACAAGUAAAAAUGAUAGAUGUUUAACUUCAAUGUUAUAUUAAGGCUACAGCUAUUUAAAGCUUUUGCAAGAAGGGAAAGUGAAAAUUGGAGAGGCUUACAAAUCCUAAAAGUGUGAAACAUUCCACAUCUUUAUAAAAGCUAGUGUUUUUUCUUCCACUAAUAAUCUCCAACAGUAAAACACCAAAGCUAAAGACAUCAGAUUUCUCUGAAUAGAGUCCUUCUGCUGUAUAUUCUGGAGAAAUAUAGCCACUGCAUUAUAAACUACAUCUUUGAGAUCUCAAUAUGCUAAUAAUAUAAUUAUCAUGGACAAAAGAAAAGGAGCACUUACUAUGUUCCAACAAUUCUUUUUGUAUUUGCCUGGUUUUCACUACCUCCAAAAAGUUUAGCCAUUCCAAAAUUUAAUAUUUUUGGAUUCAUUUCCUCAUCCAAUAAUAUGUUACUUGCCUUCAAAUCUCUAUGUAUAAUUCGUAAUCUUGAAUCUCUGUGAAGAUAGAGCAAUCCUCUAGCUAUUCCCUUAAUUAUGGUGAAGCGCUUUUUCCAAUCUAAGGAUUUAUGUUUUGAUGGAUCUGCAAAAGAUUGUUUAAGUAAGAUGUGAUGAAAGUAGAUGGUCAAAAGAAGACAAUUUACUCACUUCCUACAUUAUUAUAGCAGGUGGUGGUAUAUUUGCUAUGCGAGGCAAUUACUUGUAUAUUAAUAAACCACUUUAAUUGUUCAUUGACUCCAUUGAACUUGCACAUCAAUAGAUACAAAACCUCACAUGAACUUAUAAAAUUGGGAAGUAUUCCUACAAAUGUCAACAGAGUGGUGGCAUAAGGUAAAAUAAAAUUUGAAGUACCAUACUUUUACUUCUUUAGGUAUUCAUAGACAAUCAAGUUUUCAUUUUUCUCCUCCAUUCAUCCUAUGCAAAGAAUAUAGAAACAUCCAUUUAAUAAACGGUGAUAUGCAUAGAGGAUUGGCACUAACCAAAUAUGUAUGUGUCCAAACUUUUGUUUGGCAUGUAUUCAUAAACCAAUAUCUCUUCUUCAAUGCAACAUCCAAGAAGUUUAACAAGGUUUCGGUGUUGAAGCUUAGAGAUCAACUCCACUUCAUUUAUAAAUUCAUCCAUACCCUGUCCUGAUAGUCUUGAUAGUCUUUUUACUGCUAUUUCCUGCCCAUCUUCCAAUAUCCCCUGAAAUAAGAUGAUAAAGAACAUUAAUUUCUUAUGAACUGAAGGAUUAUAAAGUUCAAAAAGAAUGAAAAUCACCUUGUAAACUGGACCAAAACCACCCUGCCCAAGUUGAAGUGAUAUAUCAAAGUUAUUUGUUGCAGUUUCCAACUUUCUCAAAGAAAACAAUGAUAGAUCUGGAACAUGGACUUGCUUCAGGGGCAUCAUCCUUGUUUUGUCUUGAUUCUGCAUCUGUGUUUCCCCUGAUUUUCACACAUUGCCCCCAUUUUAUUUCACCGAAAAACAUAUAUUGCUAUUCUAAUACUAGGUUCCAAGAGCUAUGAGUUAACUAUAUGAACUUGUCGCACAUUCUGUAUCAAAAUGAUGAAACUCAAAAGUUCGAGAGAUUAUCUAUGAUCACAAAGCUAAGAUUGUACCCAAUCUAAAUAACCACAGAGAAGAUCACUCAUCCUUUUAAUGAACCCUUAUAGUAAACGUGAAAAUUACCUUUUUGGUUUGAGCAUUUUUUCCAUAAGAAAUAUCCAGACACCAUAAUGAGAAUUGUUCCUGUCAAAAUUGAUAUUAUAAUAGGCGUUGUCAUCUUCCUCUUGCCUAUGCCUGUAUCAAAGAAAACAACAUUCAGCGAGCUUUCAUUUUCUGGCAAUAAUUUCAUCACUAUACCACAUAUAUUGUCAUCAACAGGCUAUAAAGAAAUUAAAAAAACAAAUAAAUAAAGCUCUUCGUGUAUUUGUCAUGACAUUUGUUUUGCAAAAACAAGCACCACGCUAGUUGACUCCUUGAAAUAAAAUUGCUCCCUCAUUUUAUAAUACUUUUGAAGAAUCUUAAAAAUAAGUUAAGAAGUAACAUUGCUCUCAAGGAUGUUUAACAUGACAUACAUAUAAACAGCCAUGCAACGAGAUAUAUAGUGCUUAGUGAAAUUUAAAGUUGAACCAAAUCCUAGUUGGGUGUUGAAGACAUGUUGGACUGUAAACAAGUGUGUUCUAGGGUAUUUUAAAGAGCUUUCUCUAAUUAAUAUACAUACCUAGUUCUGAGUGGGCUAAACGUAUGUAAACAUCAAUCCCUCCGUCUGGGAAGUUUUGUAUGUCAAGUAAAUCUACAUUCCAAAUCAUACAGCCAAGGUUUCUUUCAUGGGCAUAAGCGAUACAAGAGCAAUUCUUGAGGCAUGUAGUUUCACAAUCUAUAGUAGCCUCAAAGUAAGAAGGUAACACUUGCACAUCAUCUGGUAAUUUCACUCUCUCCAGCAUCCAAAAUCCAUCUAUUUUGCUAGCUUGAGAAUCAUUUUUUUCUCUCGCACACUGAAGUGCUUCUCUUCUGACACACCCACCGGUCCAGUUCUGCCUUCCCCAUUCUUCUUUGUUCCUUGGUUCAAACCCUCUCAAGCAGCUGCAAAUUCGGAAGCUCUGCCAAUUACAAACCCCGAAUGGACCGCAUAUGCCAUAAACAUCACACUCUGAAGAACCAAUUAUCCUCAAAAGUUCCAAUCUGUUUGUCUGGGAAUUCCAACGCCGUUGUUCUACUUUACCUUGAGGAUUUAAGGUAAAAGUCGCGGGAGACUUGUCUGAAAAAAAUAGUUCCAAAGUCCCUUCCUCUUCUUUCAUCUGAAACCCAUCCCCGGAGUUUGUUGAAGCUAUCCUUGGUAAACCAAGGAAGUCUAUGCCAUCCCAGGGACCAGUUCGAAAGUAAGGACGAUUUUCUUUCCACACAAAUACUUCAGUUACGUUACGGGCUUCAAGACCGCAAGAAAAUUCUCCAUAAGAUGGAUCAGAUGCACUUCUCCAAGAUGAUGUUGGAAACUCUGCCACACGGAUACUCCUGUAAUUCCAUCAGCAAGGAUUAGGUUGCCAGAAUCCAAGAGUUGAGCACUGGAGUUUGAGGCAACUUGUGAGACGUUUGUUGACCAAAGAACCUGUUUUUGACCAUUCAAAACAACAAGAUUGCCAUUUUCUGAUAUUGUCAGAAUUCCCAAAGAAUCUAUUAGUGGGUUGUUUCUGUUAGCAACCCAAACAAUAGAGGAUUUGGACAUGUACGAAAUUCCCACGUGGCGAUUAGUGGAAUUUUGAGGACUGAAGAAUCCUAGUGUGAACAUGUUAUUACUUGAGCUCACUGUUUCAGGUUCUUGGAUCGACAUAGAUGAUGCAAUGGUGUCCAAGGCACAUACCACAAGAGUUGAAGAGAACAAACGUACAAGGAAAGCAAGUAACAAGACUUUAUUGAAUCCCAUGAAGAACAUUGAUUUCGAAGUGCUGUGAAGGAUAACCCCGUAUAAUAUACUGUAUUUCGAACUAUUUACCUUUUCUUAAACUGCGACUUCACUGGAGGAAGAACAAAACCUGCAACAAUCUGGAAUUUUUGCAGGGACUUGGUCGCCAUUCGCAUUGUAUUGAAUCUUCUCAUUCAUCAAUCAUAUAGUCUUCUAAAAAGUUAUAAACAAUAGAAUUUUGACAAAUAUACUUUCCUCUGCGGUCGUGGGCCUUGUUGCUGACAUCUUAUCAUAGGAUUUUAUUGAUCUUGCUGUCAGUAGUUCUGUCUAUGGCUCUUCAUCUAUCAAAUAUCAAAAAUAGUUCAAUCA